rnacentral:rRNA from 1 species
AUGCGUCUAUUUAACGACUGCAUUGCGGACCUUGCGCUCCGUGAGAUAGCCCGCGUAGGGGCUAAGUUUACGUUGAUGAAUAAGCAGGCGGACCCCAUCCGGAGUGUGUUAGAUCGGAUCUUUGUGUCGGCUCAGUGGGAGGUGAUGUUCCCAUUGUGCUCCCUCAAGGCCAUGAAGGGCUGGGGGGCGAACCUUGGUGCUGACCUCCGGGCCCCUAAAGGGGCCCUGCUGGAUCAAAUUAAGGUGUUGGAUGACCUUGCUGACGGGCAGGGCUUGUCUCCUGACGACUGGCUUAGGAGAUACGCCCUCGAGGCCUCGCUCAUGGACAUUUACAAGAGCGAGGAGCUGUUCUGGCAGCGUCGAGGGGGCCAGAACUGGCUUCUUAAGGGGGAUGCGAACACUGCCUACUUUCAGGUGAUUGCUAAUGGCCGCAGGUGGAAGUGUGCCAUCCCUUUCCUCUGGGAUGGAGAUGUUCUUCUGGAAAGCCCAGAGGACAUCUCCAUGCAUAUUUACUCCUUUUAUAAAGAGUUGUUCUCGACUGAGUAG